rnacentral:lncRNA from 1 species
AAAGCAGAAGGAACAACUGUCUUGAAUAUGUCGAAAAUUGCUGUCUUUAAGAUGAAGCACCCAGAGGACCACAAUCCUCGGAUUUUAUGAGAAGACCUUCUGCCCUGCCUGCCCUUUUGAGACCUUUAUCUGAAAAGGAACCUGCAAUCCUAGAAAAGAGGUGGAGGCAGGCUUGAUUCAGUUAAGGAAGUUCUUUCUUCUCAGCAAUUACCACGCCAAUUCUGUGGAAAAGCAACAUUUGGAAGACGAGAGAAAUCCACUGUAGGAAGUAUUAGAAAUACCUGCAAUUAGGCUUCAAACAAGCAAAUGAGGCAGGUCUAUUCCCCAGGCCUAACAAGUCUUUGAGGGCAGGAAAAGUAAAUGACGACAGCCUGUGUCCUCUCCAUGACACCACUCUGCCUCCAUGGAACCACUCUGCCCCCAUGGAUCUCUCCAGUUUUAAGUCUGGGGAAAUCUAUCAAUCACACAAUUUCAGUUAGCAUUCCAAGAACUAGGGGAAGGCCCGAGUAAUCUAUUCAAAGACAUGCUUCAGAAAGAACACACCGACCCCAUGGAGAGUUAAACCUGAUUACCAAGAAGCAGGAUAGUUAGGUGUUUCCGCUAUUUACAUAAUCAUUGUAAAUAUAAGUUACAGACUAAUUACAAUGAUAAUUAUGACAAUGAGCCUGGCAUGGAGGAAGAGUUUAAUAAAUAAUAUUUGAUGAAUG